rnacentral:rRNA from 1 species
GGGAACUGCGGGCAGUCUAACCAUGCAGUCGAGCGGUAGCACAGGGAGCUUGCUCCUGGGUGACGAGCGGCGGACGGGUGAGUAAUGUCUGGGAAACUGCCUGAUGGAGGGGGAUAACUACUGGAAACGGUAGCUAAUACCGCAUAACGUCGCACGACCAAAGAGGGGGACCUUCGGGCCUCUUGCCAUCAGAUGUGCCCAGAUGGGAUUAGCUAGUAGGUGGGGUAACGGCUCACCUAGGCGACGAUCCCUAGCUGGUCUGAGAGGAUGACCAGCCACACUGGAACUGAGACACGGUCCAGACUCCUACGGGAGGCAGCAGUGGGGAAUAUUGCACAAUGGGCGCAAGCCUGAUGCAGCCAUGCCGCGUGUAUGAAGAAGGCCUUCGGGUUGUAAAGUACUUUCAGCGGGGAGGAAGGUGUUGAGGUUAAUAACCUCAGCAAUUGACGUUACCCGCAGAAGAAGCACCGGCUAACUCCGUGCCAGCAGCCGCGGUAAUACGGAGGGUGCAAGCGUUAAUCGGAAUUACUGGGCGUAAAGCGCACGCACGCGGUCUGUCAAGUCGGAUGUGAAAUCCCCGGGCUCAACCUGGGAACUGCAUUCGAAACUGGCAGGCUAGAGUCUUGUAGAGGGGGGUAGAAUUCCAGGUGUAGCGGUGAAAUGCGUAGAGAUCUGGAGGAAUACCGGUGGCGAAAGCGGCCCCCUGGACAAAGACUGACGCUCAGGUGCGAAAGCGUGGGGAGCACACAGGAUUAGAUACUCUGGUAGUCCACGCCGUACACGAUGUCGACUUGGAGGUUGUUCCCUUGAGGAGUGGCUUCCGGAGCUAACGCGUUAAGUCGACCGCCUGGGGAGUACGGCCGCAAGGUUAAAACUCACAUGAAUUGACGGGGGCCCGCACAAGCGGUGGAGCAUGUGG